rnacentral:rRNA from 1 species
UUUAAAUGGCCGCAGUACCUUGACUGUGCUAAGGUAGCAUAAUCAAUUGGCUUCUAAUUAAAGUCUAGAAUGAAAGGAAUUAUGAGGUAAUUCUGUCUUAAAAGAUUUUUUUUUAAUUUAUUUAAAUGAUGAAAAUAUCAUUUUUUAGAAAAAAGACGAGAAGACCCUUAGAGUUUAUUUUUUAAUUUUGUUGGGGCGACAAGUAAACAUUUUGAACUUUACUAAUUAAUUUAAUCGAUUUAUAAUAGGAAUAAAAAAACUACCUUAGGGAUAACAGCAUUAUAUUUUUAUAUGAUUGUGACCUC